UUUGUUUAGUUUCGAGUCUGACU
rnacentral:snRNA from 1 species